CCUACGGGAGGCAGCAGUGAGGAAUAUUGGUCAAUGGACGAGAGUCUGAACCAGCCAAGUAGCGUGAAGGAUGACUGCCCUAUGGGUUGUAAACUUCUUUUAUAUGGGAAUAAAAUGUUCCACGUGUGGGAUUUUGUAUGUACCAUAUGAAUAAGGAUCGGCUAACUCCGUGCCAGCAGCCGCGGUAAUACGGAGGAUCCGAGCGUUAUCCGGAUUUAUUGGGUUUAAAGGGAGCGUAGGUGGAUUGUUAAGUCAGUUGUGAAAGUUUGCGGCGCAACCGUAAAAUUGCAGUUGAAACUGGCAGUCUUGAGUACAGGAGAGGUGGGCGGAAUGCGUGGUGUAGCGGUGAAAUGCUUAGAUAUCACGAAGAACUCCGAUUGCGAAGGCAGUUCACUGGACUGCAACUGACACUGAGGCUCGAAAGUGUGGGUAUCAAACAGGAUUAGAUACCCGUGUAGUC
rnacentral:rRNA from 1 species